rnacentral:rRNA from 2 species
UUGUCGGCCAGCUCGUGUCGUGAGAUGUUGGGGUUAAGUCCCGCAACGAGCGCANCCCACGUCCUUAGUUGCCAUCAUUCAGUUGGGCACUCUAGGGAGACUGCCGGUGAUAGCCGCGAGAAGGUGUGGAUGACGUCAAGUCCUCAUGGCCCUUACGGGAUGGGCUACACACGUGCUACAAUGGCGGUGACAGUGGGACGCGAAGGAGCGAUCUGGAGCAAAUCCCCAAAAGCCGUCUCAGUUCGGAUUGCACUCUGCAACUCGAGUGCAUGAAGGCGGAAUCGCUAGUAAUCGUGGAUCAGCAUGCCACGGUGAAUACGUUCCCGGGCCUUGUACACACCGCCCGUCACACCAUGGGAGUGGUCUUACCCGACGGCGCUGCGCAACCGCAAGAGGCAGGCGACCACGGUAGG